GGUGGUCGAUGAUGGAACUUGGGUUUUGUAGAGAUGGAUUUCGCUGAGGACAAAUGGGUGGGUUUCGCCGAGUUCGAAUCAUGUUGGCUUGAGUUAGCGUCGAGGGAGAGGGAGAGGGAGAUGUAGCAGAGAGACAAAGAGAGAGGGAGAGGUAGCAGAGAGAGGGAGAGGUAGCAGAGAGAGAUGGAGAAAUAAUGAGAGGGAGUUGCGGCUAGGGUUAAGAGACGAAGGAAGGGAGAUAGGAGAGAG
rnacentral:lncRNA from 1 species